GAUGAACGCUGGCGGCGUGCCUAACACAUGCAAGUCGAGCGAUUCUCUUCGGAGAAGAGCGGCGGACGGGUGAGUAACGCGUGGGUAACCUGCCCUGUACACACGGAUAACAUACCGAAAGGUAUGCUAAUACGAGAUAAUAUGCUUUUAUCGCGUGGUAGAAGUAUCAAAGCUUUUGUGGUACAGGAUGGACCCGCGUCUGAUUAGCUAGUUGGUAAGGUAACGGCUUACCAAGGCGACGAUCAGUAGCCGACCUGAGAGGGUGAUCGGCCACAUUGGAACUGAGACACGGUCCAAACUCCUACGGGAGGCAGCAGUGGGGAAUAUUGCACAAUGGGCGAAAGCCUGAUGCAGCAACGCCGCGUGAGCGAUGAAGGCCUUCGGGUCGUAAAGCUCUGUCCUCAAGGAAGAUAAUGACGGUACUUGAGGAGGAAGCCCCGGCUAACUACGUGCCAGCCGCCGCGGUAAAAC
rnacentral:rRNA from 1 species